UCGCCCUUAGAGUUUGAUCCUGGCUCAGGAUGAACGCUGGCGGCGUGCCUAACACAUGCAAGUCGAACGGGAUGCGUAUCGGAAAGCUUCGGCCGGAAGGUGCGUUAUCUAGUGGCGGACGGGUGAGUAACACGUGGGUAACCUGCCUUAUGGAGGGGAAUAACAGAGAGAAAUCACUGCUAAUACCGCAUAAGCACACAGUACCGCAUGGUACAGGGUGAAAAGAUUUAUCGCCAUAAGAUGGACCCGCGUCUGAUUAGCCAGUUGGCAGGGUAAAAGCCUACCAAAGCAACGAUCAGUAGCCGAUCUGAGAGGAUGACCGGCCACAUUGGGACUGAGACACGGCCCAAACUCCUACGGGAGGCAGCAGUGGGGAAUAUUGCACAAUGGGGGAAACCCUGAUGCAGCGACGCCGCGUGAGUGAAGAAGUAUUUCGGUAUGUAAAGCUCUAUCAGCAGGGAAGAUAAUGACAGUACCUGACUAAGAAGCCCCGGCUAACUACGUGCCAGCAGCCGCGGUAAUACGUAGGGGGCAAGCGUUAUCCGGAUUUACUGGGUGUAAAGGGAGCGUAGACGGAGUGGCAAGUCUGAAGUGAAAACCCUGGGCUUAACCUGGGGACUGCUUUGGAAACUGUUAAUCUAGAGUGUUGGAGAGGUAAGUGGAAUUCCUGGUGUAGCGGUGAAAUGCGUAGAUAUCAGGAAGAACACCGGAGGCGAAGGCGGCUUACUGGACAAUAACUGACGUUGAGGCUCGAAAGCGUGGGGAUCAAACAGGAUUAGAUACCCUGGUAGUCCACGCUGUAAAC
rnacentral:rRNA from 1 species